CUAUUAACUAAUGGAGCUAGAACUGAUGUUGUGUCUCAAGAUGGUGAAACUCUACUACACUAUGCUGGUGAAUCUGGUAAAGUUGAAAUGCUUGAGUUUUGGAUUAAGAGAGGAGAACAUGAUGUGAAUGUUAAAGAUAACAGCAAAAGAACUCCAUUGUUUAAUGCUGUUAAGAGUGGU